CAGCCGCCACGGGAAUACGAAGGGGGCUAGCGUUGUUCGGAAUUACUGGGCGUAAAGCGCACGUAGGCGGAUAUUUAAGUCAGGGGUGAAAUCCCGCAGCUCAACCCCGGAACUGCCUUUGAAACUAGGUGACUAGAAUCUUGGAGAGUUCAGUGGAAUUCCGAGUGUAGAGGUGAAAUUCGUAGAUAUUCGGAAGAACACCAGUGGCGAAGGCGACUGACUGGACAAGUAUUGACGCUGAGGUGCGAAAGCGUGGGGAGCAAACAGGAUUAGAUACCCGAGUAGUCCCUGUCUCUUAUAC
rnacentral:rRNA from 1 species